UACGUAGGGGGGCAAGCGUUUGUCCGGAAUCAUUGGGCGUAAAGAGCGUGUAGGCGGCCCGAUAAGUCCGCUGUGAAAGUCCAGGGCUCAACCCUGGGAUGCCGGUGGAUACUGUCGGGCUCGAGUCCGGAAGAGGAGUGUGGAAUUCCUGGUGUGAGCGGUGAAAUGCGCAGAUAUCAGGAGGAACACCAAUGGCGAAGGCAGCACUCUGGGACGUGACUGACGCUGAGACGCGAAAAGCGUGGGGGAGCAAACAGG
rnacentral:rRNA from 1 species